GAGACCCAUACACAGGUGCUGCAUGGUUGUCGUCAGCUCGUGUCGUGAGAUGUACCGGUUAAGUCCGUGAACGAGCGCAACCCCUGCCCUUAGUUGCUAAUAUGCGAAAGCAUAUGCACUCUAAGGGGACCGCCAGCGGAAAGCUGGAGGAAGGUGGGGAUGACGUCAAAUCCUCAUGGCCUUUAUGUCCAGGGCUACACACAUGCGACAAUGGUCGAGACAACGCGUUGCAAACCAGUAAUGGUAAGCUAAUCGCAUAAAAUCGACCUCAGUACGGAUUGAGGGUUGCAAUUCACCCUCAUGAAGCUGGAGUUGCUAGUAACCGCAGGUCAGCUAUACUGCGAUGAAUACGUUCCCGGGGCUU
rnacentral:rRNA from 1 species